rnacentral:rRNA from 1 species
GUCUACAGCCAUACCACGUUGAAAGCACCAGUUCUCGUCCGAUCACUGAAGUUAAGCAACGUCGGGCUCGGUUAGUACUUGGAUGGGUGACCGCCUGGGAACACCGAGUGCUGUAGACU